ACAAAUGAAGAUCUUUUUGAUGAAAUCUGAGAGAUGUCUGUCUCUCCAUUGACUGGCUUUGCAACGAUCACUUUGACGCUUGGUUACACAGCACGUUUGAGCUUCUGGAAGAGUAUUCUCAAAGCUAAUGAAGCGAGCAGAAGCAGGAACAGGAAGCGUCUUUAAGAGCUCACAGGAGGCCCUUUGUUCCGGCUCCAGGCCGCGGGGGACCCAGAUUCAGCACAGCGGCCCUUGAGAGACCUCCCAGCAUUCUUCGGCAGGACGACCCCAUCCACACCUCACCUUCAGAGGUUGUCACUGCAUUGUAAGGCCAGGAAUCAGUCUGGUCUUUGUGUCUCGUCUUUUUAUAAAUAUCUACUUCUGACUACCUCUCUCUGGCUAGCAUGGUUUCACACUGACAGUGAUUUGUUUCAAGGAGUUUCAGUGAUUUGAAACAACAUGCGUGACUGAUUUUUUUUCAUACAAAUGAGCAGUGACAUGAUGUAAUGACUACAAAUGGAAGCACAGACCAUGUAGUCCACCUCUUUUUACAUUUUACAAAAAAAAAAAAAAGUACAGAGACUUACUAUAGUGAUCUACAGUGAUGAAAUCGCUGUCAGUAUGAAUAAAACUUAAAGGGAUGGUUUACUGAAAAAAGUGAAUAUUGCCUUAAUUUACUCACUCUGAUGUUGUCCUACAAAAAAAGACCUCUUUGACAUUCACCCUAUGGACCAAAAAAAAAAAAAAAAAAACAUAAUAUCUUUUUGUUUCCAAUAAUAAAGUCAAACAGGAUGGGAAAGACACAAAGGUGAGUAGAUAAUAGAACUCUCAGUUUUGGGUGAACCUUCCCUUUAAUUGUCCACUUUCAAAACAUUAACUCCAUGUCCUAACCAGGCAUGAUGCAAAAAAAAAAAAGUGAUUAAUCACAUCUCUGUUCUUUUUAUUCUAACCGGCCAUAACCACAGAAAGCAAUGAGCUAAAAAACAUAGCUGUAAUAUGGCUGUCACUUUGAAAAAAAAUCCUUGCUAGCAAAAUGCAUGUUAAUCCAUUGACAGUGCUGGGUAGAUUACUUACAAAUUGUAAUCAGUUAUCAAGGUAAUAUAAUCUGACUACUUGUUGAUAACUUUUAGAUUACUUUUGACCUAACACAUUUAUCACAUUGAUUUGAAUAGGAUAAUCUUGUACCAUAUCGAUAUACAAAUAUAAAGA